rnacentral:rRNA from 1 species
AUUGAACGCUGGCGGCAUGCUUUACACAUGCAAGUCGAACGGUAACAGGCCUUCGGGUGCUGACGAGUGGCGAACGGGUGAGUAAUGCAUCGGAACGUACCCAGUGGUGGGGGAUAACGCAGCGAAAGCUGUGCUAAUACCGCAUGUGAUCUGAGGAUGAAAGCGGGGGACCGAGCAGCAAUGUUUGGCCUCGCGCCUUUGGAGCGGCCGAUGUCGGAUUAGCUAGUUGGUGGGGUAAAGGCCUACCAAGGCGACGAUCCGUAGCUGGUCUGAGAGGACGACCAGCCACACUGGGACUGAGACACGGCCCAGACUCCUACGGGAGGCAGCAGUGGGGAAUUUUGGACAAUGGGCGCAAGCCUGAUCCAGCAAUGCCGCGUGCGGGAAGAAGGCCUUCGGGUUGUAAACCGCUUUUGGCAGGAACGAAACGGUGUCCGCUAAUACCGGGCGCUAAUGACGGUACCUGCAGAAUAAGCACCGGCUAACUACGUG